ACUGCUCAGUAACACGUGGACAACCUACCCUAUGGAAGGGGAUAAUCCCGGGAAACUGGGGAUAAUACCCUAUAGACUAUGGAUGCUGGAAUGCACUGUAGCCGAAAGGUCCGCCGCCAUAGGAUGGGUCUGCGGCCGAUUAGGUUGUUGUUGGGGUAACGGCCCAACAAGCCUGUAAUCGGUACGGGUUGUGGGAGCAAGAGCCCGGAGAUGGAUUCUGAGACACGAAUCCAGGCCCUACGGGGCGCAGCAGGCGCGAAAACUUUGCAAUGCGGGAAACCGUGACAAGGGAACUCUGAGUGCCCGUAAAAUCGGGCUGUCCAUCAGUUUAAAAAACUGGUGAAGAAAGGGCCGGGCAAGACCGGUGCCAGCCGCCGCGGUAAUACCGGCGGCUCGAGUGGUGGCCACUAUUACUGGGCUUAAAGCGUUCGUAGCUGGUUUGUUAAGUCUCUGGGGAAAUCUUCCGGCUUAACCGGAAGGCGUUUCAGGGAUACUGGCAGACUAGGGACCGGAAGAGGUGAGAGGUACUCCAGGGGUAGGAGUGAAAUCCUGUAAUCCUUGGGGGACCACCUGUGGCGAAGGCGUCUCACCAGGACGGCUCCGACAGUGAGGGACGAAAGCUGGGGGAGCAAACCGGAUUAGAUACCCGGGUAGUCCCAGCCGUAAACGAUGUGCGUUAGGUGUAUCGGUGACCACGAGUCACCGAGGUGCCGAAGAGAAAUCGUGAAACGUACCGCCUGGGAAGUACGGCCGCAAGGCUGAAACUUAAAGGAAUUGGCGGGGGAGCACCACAACAGGUGGAGCCUGCGGUUUAAUCGGACUCAACGCCGGGAAACUCACCAGAUAAGACAGCUGAAUGAUAGUCGGGCUGAAGACUCUACUUGACUAGCUGAGAGGAGGUGCAUGGCCGUCGUCAGUUCGUACUGUGAAGCAUCCUGUUAAGUCAGGCAACGAGCGAGACCCCUACC
rnacentral:rRNA from 1 species